AGCGGAAUGAUGGCCGAGCAAAAGGAGUCCUGCAUAGAUCGCGCAGGUAAUGGGUAUCCCAAAAAUGUAAAGUCGGCAAAAAUUAGGGAGUAUUUUGACAGUUAUUAUAUUAAUAAACAUUUAAUCUAGUACUCUUCGAUAGGGUUUAAUAGAAAA